rnacentral:rRNA from 1 species
UGCCUUAGUACGGCGAGUGAGCGGCAAAAGCUCAAAUUUGAAAUCUGGUACCUUCGGUGCCCGAGUUGUAAUUUGGAGAGGGCAACUUUGGGGCCGUUCCUUGUCUAUGUUCCUUGGAACAGGACGUCAUAGAGGGUGAGAAUCCCGUGUGGCGAGGAGUGCGGUUCUUUGUAAAGUGCCUUCGAAGAGUCGAGUUGUUUGGGAAUGCAGCUCUAAGUGGGUGGUAAAUUCCAUCUAAAGCUAAAUAUUGGCGAGAGACCGAUAGCGAACAAGUACAGUGAUGGAAAGAUGAAAAGAACUUUGAAAAGAGAGUGAAAAAGUACGUGAAAUUGUUGAAAGGGAAGGGCAUUUGAUCAGACAUGGUGUUUUGUGCCCUCUGCUCCUUGUGGGUAGGGGAAUCUCGCAUUUCACUGGGCCAGCAUCAGUUUUGGUGGCAGGAUAAAUCCAUAGGAAUGUAGCUUGCCUCGGUAAGUAUUAUAGCCUGUGGGA